rnacentral:rRNA from 1 species
GGCGACGACGGGUAGCCGGCCUGAGAGGGCGACCGGCCACACUGGGACUGAGACACGGCCCAGACUCCUACGGGAGGCAGCAGUGGGGAAUAUUGGGCAAUGGANGAAACUCUGACCCAGCGACGCCGCGUGCGGGAUGAAGGCCUUCGGGUUGUAAACCGCUUUCAGCAGGGAAGAAGCGAAAGUGACGGUACCUGCAGAAGAAGCACCGGCUAACUAUGUGCCAGCAGCCGCGGUAAUACAUAGGGUGCAAGCGUUGUCCGGAAUUAUUGGGCGUAAAGAGCUCGUAGGUGGUUCGUCACGUCGGAUGUGAAAAUCUGGGGCUCAACCCCAGACCUGCAUUCGAUACGGGCGAGCUAGAGUUUGGUAGGGGAGACU